rnacentral:rRNA from 1 species
AUGGCAGCCCCUGCUGCUUCCAGCAACCACCUUCUUCAGGCAGCAACAGCAGACCAAAACUACCACCCCAACGCUGCUCCUGCUCCCAGCUUCUUCAGAGCAAACUCAACAGCAGCAGCAGCAGCAGCAGCAGCAGCAGGCCUCAGCGUCAGAGGAGAGAUGACGCUACCCAAUGGCGACGUCUACUCCGGCACGCUAUCAUCAUCAUCAUCACAUUCGCGGCAGGUGCCCGAGGGCACGGGCCGCUACGUCUGGGCCGGCGGCAGCUGCUGCGUGUACGAGGGCGGCUGGAAGAGAGGCGCGAGGCACGGCCACGGCAGAACCCUCUGGCCCUCCGGCGCCGUCUACGAGGGCGACUACUCCGCCGGGUUCAUGGACGGCGAGGGGACCUACGUCGCCGGCCCCUGCACCAGCACCACCUCCUCUUCAUCAUCAUCAUCCUACAAGGGGCAGUGGAAGCUGGACCGCAAGCACGGCCACGGGCGCCAGACCUACCCCAACGGGGACACAUUCGAGGGCUCCUGGGUGCAGGGCCAGAUGGAGGGCCAUGGCAGGUACACCUGGGCCGACGGCAACAGCUACGUCGGCACCAUGAGGAACGGCACCAUGUUCGGCAAAGGGGUGCUCACAUGGAGCGCCACCGGGGACUCUUUUCAGGGGAACUGGCUCGACGGCGCCAUGCACGGCUACGGGCUCUACACCUGGGAGGACGGCGGGUGCUACCUCGGGACGUGGACCAGAGGAUUCAAGGAUGGAAAGGGCACAUUCUAUCCUAAGAGUUGCAGGGUUCCUGCUGCUCACCAGCUCUACAUCGACGAUCUGAGGAACAGGGGCGUGCUGCCCGAUGACAUCUCAACAAAUGUCCUUCAGCAGCAGCGCACCUCCUCUUCUUCCUUUGACACGAAUCAAGAGCCUGCUGCUGCACCAGCAGAUCUUAAGAAGUCCUGGAGAAACCUGAGCUUCGAGCGGCCUCCGGUAAAGAAGCCGUCUCUGCAGAGGCGCUGGAGCAUCGGAGUGGCCAUCGACAAGAUCAUCGGCGCUCAUGAGCCAAGUGGUGCAGGUUCUGAACCACAAACACAACAAGGGUCUGACCAAAACAUGGCUGGUUGUUCUAGCCUGCCGAUACUCGAAAGGGAGUAUGCGCAGGGCGUUCUCAUCAGCGAGGUCGUGCUGAACAAGAGCUGCCUGGAAGAUUCAUCCAAGAAACUGAGCCGUCGACAGAGCAGGGCGGCAAAGGAUGUCAAAAGGCCCGGGGAGAUGAUAAUCAAAGGACACAGGAGCUAUGACCUGAUGCUCUGCCUACAGCUUGGAAUCAGGUACACGGUCGGAAAGAUUACUCCGAUUCAGAGGCGUGAGGUGCAAGCCUCCGAUUUCGGCCCCAAGGCUAGCUUCUGGAUGAACUUCCCCACAAAAGGAACACGGCUUACUCCCGCACACCGUGCUGUCGAUUUUAAGUGGAAGGAUUACUGUCCAGUGGUCUUCAGAAAUUUGAGGGAGAUGUUCAAGCUUGAUACAGCAGAUUACAUGAUUUCCAUUUCUGGAAGUGAUGCACUUAGGGAGUUGUCUUCUCCUGGAAAGAGUGGAAGUAUGUUUUUCUUAUCGCAAGAUGACCGCUUCAUGAUCAAGACUCUUCGGAAAUCUGAAGUGCAGGUCCUUUUGCGUAUGCUUCGAGACUAUUACCGCCAUGUCCAUACUUAUGAUAACACACUCGUGACUAAAUUUUUUGGCCUCCACCGGGUGAAACCUUCCAGCGGGCAAAAGUUUAGAUUUGUAGUGAUGGGCAACAUGUUCUGCACAGAACUUAGAAUCCAUCAAAGAUUCGAUUUGAAAGGUUCAUCCUUAGGCAGAUCUACCGACAAGGUUAAAAUCGACGAGAACACGACGCUGAAAGACUUGGAUCUGAACUACUCAUUCUAUCUCGAGCCUUCUUGGCGGGAUGCUUUGCUCAAGCAGAUUGAGAUCGACAGCGAGUUUCUGAAGAAUCAGGGCAUAAUGGACUACAGCUUGCUUCUUGGCUUCCAUUACCGGGCUCGUCAAAGCCUUGUAAGAGGAGGGUCGUUGCCUGAAACCAUUUUGCAAGAUAAUAAACUAGCCGUUCUUUCGGAACAAGAUGCCAUGGAGGAUGAUUCUGCCUAUAACGACUACCGCGAAGGGCUGGUUUUGGUGCAGCGAGGCAGCAACCAAGAAGGUAAAGUCGCUGUCGGCCCUCACAUAAGAGGGAGCCGCCUGCGAUCGUCGUCCGCUUGUUACGAGGAAGUGGAUCUCCUGCUUCCAGGCACAGCAAGGCUUCAGAUCCAGCUAGGGGUGAACAUGCCGGCAAGAGCAGAGAAACAAGAGAAACAAGAGAAAGACGGCGGAAAAUCGCUCCGUCAGGUUUAUGAUGUGGUGCUCUACAUAGGGAUCAUCGACAUCCUGCAGGAGUACAGCAUGAGGAAGAAGGUCGAGCACGCCUACAAGUCCGUCAAGUAUAACCCCCUGUCGAUAUCGGUCGUGGAGCCCCGGUUCUACUCGGAGCGCUUCCUCAACUUCAUCCGCACCGUCUUCCCGGAAAACGCACCCAACCAAUAA